rnacentral:lncRNA from 1 species
AAAUACAUAUGUAUGUUUUGUACUGUAAAUAUAUAUCCAGAUCUGUAUGGCUAUGUAUUUUGUAUGUUUUUGAAUAUGUGUAUGUGAUAUAUAUAUUUGUCUUGUCAAAAUAAAAGUUAGAGAUAGAAGAGUAAAACAUAAAAAAAAAUAAAAAUAUAAAAAUAAAAAAAUAAAAAAAAAGAGAAGUGAAAAAGAAAAAAGGAAGAAAGAGAAAUAGAAGUGUAAAAAUAAAAGAAAAAAUGAAACAAAAUAAAAUAAAAAAAGAAGAAGAAAACGAAAAUAGAAAAAGAAAAAAAAGUUAUGAGAAAGGUAAAAAAAUGAAAAAGGAAAAAAAAAGAGAGAAAAUAAAGUGGAAAGAAAAAAAAAUUAAAAUUAAAAAAUAAAAUGAUAAAAAAUAAGAUGAAAAAAAAACUAACAAGAAAAAAGGUAGAAAUAUAAGAGAGUGAAAGACAGUAAUGAUGUUUUAUUUAAAAACUUGAAGAUCGUCGAGAUAAUUAUCUUCAAAUAUGAAAAAAAUAAAAAAGAAAAAAAAAGAAGAGAAAUAGAAAUG